GGGCGUAGGUGGACGGCUAACGGCGGAUAUCGCUGAGGAAAGUCCCCUCUCGCUCUGAAUCGGGAAACUGUGCAAACAGUAAGGGUGAGAAUCCUUGCAGAGACGCAGAAACGACACAGCUCAGGAAUAAUGCUAUGAUUCAUAUGAUGAUGAGGUCUUCUUGAGAUAUGAUGAAACGGUCAAUCUGCUCCUGGAGCAAGUCCAAACAUUGAGAUCAGUUAUUCAGACUGUUCAUAGGUAGGACGCAUAGUAGAAUGCCGUUUAAAACAGAAAGGGGCUUAUGGCCUACACCC
rnacentral:RNase_P_RNA from 2 species